AGAGUUUGAUCCUGGCUCAGAUUGAACGCUGGCGGCAUGCCUUACACAUGCAAGUCGAACGGUAACAGGCCGCAAGGUGCUGACGAGUGGCGAACGGGUGAGUAAUGCAUCGGAACGUGCCCAGUCGUGGGGGAUAACUGCUCGAAAGAGCAGCUAAUACCGCAUACGACCUGAGGGUGAAAGCGGGGGACCGUAAGGCCUCGCGCGAUUGGAGCGGCCGAUGUCAGAUUAGCUAGUUGGUGGGGUAAAGGCCUACCAAGGCAACGAUCUGUAGCGGGUCUGAGAGGAUGAUCCGCCACACUGGAACUGAGACACGGUCCAGACUCCUACGGGAGGCAGCAGUGGGGAAUUUUGGACAAUGGGCGCAAGCCUGAUCCAGCCAUGCCGCGUGAGUGAAGAAGGCCUUCGGGUUGUAAAGCUCUUUCAGCCGGGAAGAAAACGCAUGGGUUAAUACCCUGUGUGGAUGACGGUACCGGAAUAAGAAGCACCGGCUAACUACGUGCCAGCAGCCGCGGUAAUACGUAGGGUGCGAGCGUUAAUCGGAAUUACUGGGCGUAAAGCGUGCGCAGGCGGUUUGUUAAGAUAGGCGUGAAAUCCCCGGGCUCAACCUGGGAACUGCGUUUAUGACUGGCAGGCUAGAGUAUGGCAGAGGGGGGUGGAAUUCCACGUGUAGCAGUGAAAUGCGUAGAGAUGUGGAGGAACACCGAUGGCGAAGGCAGCCCCCUGGGCCAAUACUGACGCUCAUGCACGAAAGCGUGGGUAGCAAACAGGAUUAGAUACCCUGGUAGUCC
rnacentral:rRNA from 1 species